CCAGUAGUUGCCGAGUGGUUAAGACGAUUGACUAGAAAUCCAGUGGAGUCUCCCCGCACAGGUUCGAAUCCUGUCGACUGCG
rfam:Ixodes scapularis strain Wikel colony gcontig_1108378526518, whole genome shotgun sequence.